rnacentral:tRNA from 1 species
GCGAGUGUAGCUCAGUUGGUUAGAGCGCAUCUCUGAUAAGGAUGAGGUCCUAGGUUCGAUUCCUAGCACUCGCA